AGAGCCUGAAGAACAAGAAAGGUGACACACCUUCAGAAGGUAUAGACUUGCUCAUAAUUAAAACUAAUCUAACGGUUUCUUCUACUUCUAGUUGGGUUAUAGAUUCUGGUUCUAGUGCUCAUUUGUGCACUACCAUGCAGGGUCUAAAGGAAAGUAGAAGGCUGGCGAAAGGUGCGGUAACCCUUCGGGUUGGCAACGGGGCAAAAGUUGCUGCUGUGGCUGUGGGCACCUA
rnacentral:lncRNA from 1 species